GGAAGCCCUAAAAGAACACCUUUCACAUUCUCUACUGUGACACACCAAGAAACAGAGCAGCUUCCCCCUCCCUCCACGGCAGAAUACCCGCCGGAUUUUUGCUUAGGGUUUCUUCAGCUUUCGCCUUCCUGAAAUAUACAUUUACACCAAAAAAGAAGGCAUAUCGUUGCGUUAUGGGCGAUUCCUCUCAAAAUAUGAAUACCCAAACAGAUUGGACCCCUCAAGUUGGUAUGGAAUUUAAUACCCUAGAGGAUGCAUGGAAGCAUUGGGAAAAUUAUGGAAAGCAAAUGGGUUUUGGUGUGAGGAAGAAAUUUAUAAAUAAAAGUAAGAGAGAUGGAAAAGUAACAACAAGAGGAUUUGUUUGUUCUAAAGAAGGUGCUCGAAGACUAGACAAGCGGGAUCUUAACUGUCGUCAUCGAGAUGAAACAAGGACUAAUUGUUUUGUACGGAUGUUUGUUUCAUUAGUACGAGAGACUGAGAAGUACAAGGUUUAUGAUUUUGUAGCAGAACAUAAUCAUUUUCUUCAUCUUUCAGAAACUCCUUAUAUGAUGAAGUCGCAUCAACAAAUACCUGAAGUACAAGCCUUUGCAAUUAAUUUGGCAUGUGCUUCUAGAGUCACCCCUCCUAAGGCAAGCCAUGCGUCGAUGAGUAGAGAGACUGGCGGGAGAUGCAUUGAUCUUGAUCAAACAAACACUCUUCGAACAAAACGGCAGAGAAAAUUGAUAUAUGGUGAAGCUGGUUGGUUAUUGAAGUACUUUCAAGAACAAUUGACUAAAGAUCCAUCCUUCAAAUAUGCAAUACAAUUAGAUAGUGAAGAACAAAUAACUAAUAUUUUUUGGGUUGAUGCUAAAAUGAUCACCGACUAUUUCUAUUUUGGUGAUGUUCUGACUUUUGACACUACAUAUGGCACUAAUAAAGAUUUGAGACCCCUAGUUGUGUUUACCGGUUUUAAUCACCAUAGGGGGGUAGUGAUUUUUGGGGCUGCACUUCUAUAUGAUGAAACGGUAGAGUCAUAUAAAUGGCUUUUUGAAAGUUUCUUAGGAGCGCACGAGGGUAAAAAGCCUCGAUCGAUCUUCACAAAUGAAGAUGUUGCAAUAGAGAAGGCGUUAACUGAGGUGAUGCCGGGCACAUGGCAUGGAUUAUGUACUUGGCACAUACUGCAAAAUGUUAUCAAGCAUGUAGGGAAUUUGAUGAAGGAUGGUUCCUUUUUUCUUCGAGACUUCAAAGAUUGUAUGUUUGAGUAUGAGGAUGAAACUGAAUUUGAAAAUGCUUGGGACAAAAUGAUUCAAACGUAUAACGGUGAGCAUCUUAGUUGGUUGGAUGGUAUAUACAAAUUGAAGACAAAAUGGGCCAAGUGUCAUGUGAAGAGGGCAUUUACUUUGGGAGUGGGAAGUACUCAACUCAAUGAAAGCUUGAGUGGGGACUUGAAAGCGUACCUAAAAUCAGAUUUGGAUGUGGUCCGAUUUUUUGAACAUUUUGAGAGAGUGGUAGAGCAAAAGCGACAUAAGGAAUUGAAGACUGAAUUUAAUGCUAGGCAAAAAUUGCCUACAUUGAGCUUGAAAAAUUCCCCCGUGUUGAAGCAGGCAGCACAAACAUAUACACCUGUGAUAUUUAAAAUAUUUCAAGAUGAGUAUGACUAUGCAUCAGCAGCGGUAAUAAAAUAUCGCAAUGAGAGUCAGCUAAUGCAUGAAUAUAUUGUUGUACUUCUUAAUGAAGAGAGAGAGUAUAAAGUACUUUGCGACCAAAAGAAUAAGAUAAUCUCAUGUAGUUGCAAGAAGUUCGAAACAUUUGGGAUUUUGUGUUGCCAUGCUCUGAAAGUUUUUGACUUGCUUGAUAUAAAGAUGAUUCCUGAUAUGUACAUUUUGAAAAGAUGGACAAGAGAUGCGAAGAGUGAAUGCUUGUUAGAUGGUAAGAUAAGGAAUGUGGAAGAGGAUAUUAAUUUGAAUGUGACACAAAGAUAUAGAAGAUUGUGUACCAGGCUGGUGAGAUUAGCUACUGAAGCAGCCGACACAGAAGAUACAUAUGCUUUGGUAGCGAGGGCAAUAGAAGAAAUGAAAAAGCAAGUGAAAGAUAUUGCAACAAAAAGUUCAAGUGCUACUCUUGGUGAUCAAGCUCACAUGUCAUUGGCAGGGAAUUGAUGGAUUCAAUCAUACUCCGAUACCCUGUGCUGAUAGCGCAAAUACUAAUAUGAAUCUCAGGAAAUUUCUCGGACAUUGAAAGUAUAGAGGCUGUGUUGUGGUUUCUAAGCAUACUUUCCUCUCAGGCAUGUCCCGCAAUUCUCAUCAGUUCCAUUAAAAAAACCAGAUAUUUGAACUUCGUGAAUAGAGCCAAAGAAGCCCAGAGAAGAAGCAGAGAAGCCCAAGGCCAUAAAAGAUAUGCAUCAAAAAAAUCUUUUGGGAUGACAAGGCUGUAAAAUUUUGAAAUUUUGGUUCCCCCUUCACACACAAACCCCCCCCUCCCCCCCUCCCUUUUCUUGCUUGGAGAGAGGGGUUUUGAGAUGGUGAAAAUACAGUUCUGUUAAUAUUUGCAAUUACUUAGCUAGAUGUAGUCAUAUUGAAAGACACUGAUUUCUGUAAAUUAACCUAAAUUCAGAGACAGCAGAAUGAUAGGUCAUGAGUUUAGUUUUUAUUUUA